CCCUGGACCCAGCUGUGUCUCCAUGAAGAGUUACCACUUUAUGAAACAACCUUGGAAAUGUAAAGAUGGAAAUCAGUCUAUUGAGAAGAGGCAAAUUGGUGGGGGUCCAGGGCUGGUGGCAGCAUUCUACAUAUCAGCACCUUGAUUUGCUCACUAUGGGGGUGAGAGCAAAAGACACCAGGAGAGGUCAAAGGUUACCAGAGCUCAGUCUGUACAGCAGCGUCAAACUGAGCUGAUCAAGAGGGCUGAGGAGAACGCAC